CCCUUAGAUGUCCUGGGCCGCACGCGUGCUACACUGACGCCUACAGCGAGUACUUCCCAGCCCCGAGAGGCGGCUGGUAAUCAGCAAUAGGCGUCGUGAUGGGGAUAGAUCUUUGGAAUUAUGGAUCUUGAACGAGGAAUGCCUAGUAAGCGCAGGUCAUUAGCCUGCGCUGAUUACGUCCCUGCCCUUUGUACACACCGCCCGUCGCACCUACCGAUUGAAUGGUCCGGUGAAAUCUCGGGACGGCGGCUUGGUCGCUUGCGUCCGACUGCUGAAACUUGAUUAAACCAUAUCAUUUAGAGGAAGGUGAAGUCGUANCA
rnacentral:rRNA from 1 species